rnacentral:snoRNA from 1 species
ACUAUCCCUAGAGGCAUGGCAGUUGUGUCUGCUGUGUCAAGUUUGUUUUAGUAGGUGGCAGAGAGAAGAGAGGCUAUGUCCCUGUGCAGUGUUUUGGUCCAUGAACAUUUGAGCAAUUAGUAACCUGACAUU